AAGCAGGGAAAAGCUCUUGGCUGGCAGAAGAAAUGAAAAGAUAAAAGUGCUGGCAGCCACCCAGACAUCUCUGCACCAGCAAAAGCUGCAUCAGAUCCUUCAGGCCAAGUGGAGACGCAGCCUGGGGACAGCAAAGCUUCUGGAGCAGGCAAUGGGUGAUGACAAGAGUUGUGUCGCUUUCCCUGACCAACCUCCCUUGAUGCUGGAGCACUCUGUCAUAUCAGCUGGAAUUCACACGUUUGGGACAACCACAAACAUCCGUUGUUAUUGUUUUCCAGCCUCUCUGUUUUAUGGGAAGCGUCUUGUCAACGGGACUAUAAACACUUUGAAGCUUUUGUGUGUAGUUGGUGAACAAGGGGGCUCGUUGGAUACAAAAGAGAACAACUUCAUCUUCCCCCGCUGCCGGUUCACACCUGCCAAGAUGCUCCAGCUCCACCCUUGGACCAAAUCUAAGGGCGAAAUAUGACUUUCCUGGCUUCUCUCUCCACCUGGGAUUAAAAUGUCGACUCUCCUGUAAUAGUCAAAACCCCAAAGUUACAGCUUUUCCCCACCCCACCCCAGCUCCUGGUGGGGAGGGGCUGGGACACCGUUUCUCCGCGGGUGCGUCCUCAGCUUGCUGGCUGUAGUCUCCAGGAUGGCAGCCGGGCUGGAAGAAGACACAACAAGGGGACAUCUGCGUUUUACGUGGACUGGGAGGUUGUGCGCUGGCAUCGCUGCUCCCCAGGCUCAGCAGGUAUUUCAAGCUUAUCACACCAGGCGCUUUGGAGAAGCGCUCACACCUGCUGACCUUCUGAUUCCAGGGGCAACACCUUCUCUGGCUGGUCUUCUGUCAUCUGUAAUUCCACCCCGGCCCUCAGAGAUCAGACCCCUUCCUCUGAGGUUGCCUUCCUCCUCCAGGCGCCUGUUGCGAAGAUCUAAGACUCUCCAAGACCCACACCUGCUCCCCAGAACCUCCCACCUUAGACUGGCUGUCAGGGAAAGGAUGUCACCGCCAGGGGCCACAUAGCCAGGCGCCCCCUCCCCACCUUUAGAUUUCUCAGGUGGGAGUUGAGCCCCAGGCCAUUUCGUCCCUGGCCCUGGGGGACAAGUGCCUGCUCCCUGAGUCCUCUCCAUAAAGGUCCUUCCAGUCAGCUGGGGGUGAGGGAGAGGCAAGCCCCUGCUCCUCCACGCCUGGGUGAUGCUCACGAGACACCCACCACUGAAACACCUUCUUUCCCUAACCUCAAAUGUGCUGCAUUUUCUUACUUCCUCAAAACAGUUAUUGAGCUAAUCGCUGCAAACUGUCACUUGCCUCUUCCUUUGCGUGUUCGUCCAGUCGUCCACACCCCCUCUGGAGUGGGAAUGGUGGCCUCUAAAGACUGGGCCCGAAACUGAAAUGGAUCCCAGGCCCCAUUUGGACGUCCGAUGACACAUGUCUUUAAGGACCAAAACACUGAGAGCAAAGCCAGGAUUUCUUUUUCUUGUCUUUAAGAGUUUUGCUUAAUAUUAAGUCUA